UGGAGAUGAUGCAAAUUGUAAUAAACUGACAGGUACUGUGGAGGGGAAAAAAACUGAUUUAAUGAGGCUGAUCC